CAAGUUCUGUGAUACACUUUGGCUCUGUUAUUGAGGAAAGUCAGUGCAUAACAGAACUUUGU
rnacentral:pre_miRNA from 1 species